CGUCAACAUCUAAGUCAAUUUCUUUUUUUCGACAAAUUCAGUUUUAACCGAGUUCCAUGGACAGUUUACCACAGGAAAAGUGUCAUGGCUAGCUGCAGACGUACCAUCAUCAGAUGAAGUCCACCUCUCCAUCAGAAGUCGAUACAUGAAGCCCACCAUCAAGAUUAAAACUGAGGAUUGAAACAGGCUAGACUUGUAUAGACACGUCAUUGCCAGAUGAAGUGUACCUCACUAGGUAGUAGAUGUAAUAUGUAUGAUGGGCAUGCUGCCUUGUGUCAAACUACAACGAUGUAUUCUCCAGCAACAGGCUAGCUGCAGACACACCAUCAUCAGAUGAAGUCUACCUCCAUCGGAAGUAGAUGCAUGAAGCCCACCAUCAAGAUUCGAGGAUGUCUUCAUCAACAGGCUAGGUUUGUACAGACACACCAUUGUCAGAUGAAGUCUACCUCUCCAGAAGUAGAUGUAAUAUGUAUGAUGGGCAUGCUGCCUUGUGUGUCAAGGUACAAUGAUGUAUUCUCCAGCAACAGGCUAGCUGCGAACAUACUUAUGUCAAAUGAAGUCUACCUCUCCAGAAGUAGAUACAUGAAUCCUACCAUCAAGGUUCAAGGAUGUCUUCAUCAACAGUUAGACUUGCUCAAGAGAUGACGAUGUCAGAGGAAGUCUACCUCUCCAAAAGUACAUGCAUGAUGCAAAUGCUGCCCUGUGACAGAUGUGGUCUGCGCCCUAUGUCUACCUCAUCAACGGCGAGGGUUGUCAUCUCCAGAGAGAUCUACUCAUCAACCAAGUAGAUGUCCGAGCCCUGCAGUUGAUAAACUUCUUAACAGUUUACAAUGACUCUGCUCUAGUUUAUAAAAGAUAUUUCUACCUGUUCCAAAAAGCAUUUUCCUGAGAUCUGCAAGUGCCUACCAUUGGCCAUCGUCUAACACAACUGUGUGAAGCUAAAAAAAGCAUGAGAAAGCUGAUAUGCUACAACCAAGUUUGUAGCAAAUAACUUUCCCUCCAAUCAUGAAGGCUUCAGAAUUCGAGGUGAGCAACUCUCUUUAAGGCAUUCUACACAAGUAGUCAUGGAUGAACAACCAACCAACUUGAUGAUUUCAUUUGUAGAAUUGUAGAAAUGUUAAAUAAUAGAGAGGUUUCGCAAGUGUACGGAUACAGAUACAAUGAUACGUCAACACUUUGUGUGUUCACAUGAGGCGUAUACGCAACUAUCAUGUUUUGCACAAACGUUAGCAAUGGAUAAGGGAGCUCGUACACGUCGUAGAAAAACAGAUACUGUUUUGCAGACUUUUAGUUUUCUUUUUGUCCCAGAUCGAAAACGUUUCCCAUGGAAUUGCUUUCACUGGUAUCGUGCUUGACAUAGAUAGACAUUUUUUGGUCAUUUGCAAGCAAAGCAAUGAGAAAAUGUGUAUAAAUCGGUUAUGUUCGUCAGAAAAACACUAAUGAUGAAUGCGAGCGCACUCAAGUGAAACAUACCUAGUUUGCUAAACAAAAUCCAACACGCGGCUGUCGUGAACUAAUACAUAUCCGUAUCUGUAUCCGCAUGCUUGCGAAGCCUCUCUAAUGAUGACAAGUAUAACCCUGAUGCAAUUUUACUUCUACAUGAAUGUUAUUGUUAAAAGUAAGUGCACCAUUUGCAAUCAAGCAAACAAAAGCACUGAUGGUGCAAUGGUACGAUUAGUGAUGGCGUUGUGCUGGUUCAAGGAAUAGUGUUGUGAGGGUUUGAUAAAAUGUUGGUGCAAGGUCCCUGCUUAAGACUUAUCUUGCCAGGAUAUAAUUUUUAUCCAGAUUGAACUGCUUGCAGGGUACACUUAUUUUAUUAAAAAAUUAAAUCUUAAAGGGAAGUUACACGUUUGGUAAUUACUCAAAAC